UGUUUCUAUUUCUCUUUCUGUUUCUGUUUCUCUUUAUGUUUCUCUUCCUCUUCCUCUUUCUCUUUCUCUUUCUGUUUCUGUUUCUCUUUAUGUUUCUCUUCCUCUUCCUCUUCCUCUUCCUCUUUCUCUUUGUGUUUUUCUUUCUCUUUCUCUUUCUCUUUCUUUUUCUUUUUCUUUUUCUCUUUCUCUUUCUCUUCCUCUUCCUUUUCCUCUUCCUUUUCCUCUUUCUCUUUCUGUUUCUCUUUAGAAUCGCAAGUAAAAGUUUUCUCUCUCCGCGUUCAACGUAUUCGAAUUUCUCUUCGAGUCAAAUUUCUCCUCUUCGUUUCUUCUUCCUCUCUUCCUGUUCGAUACAUUCCUUUUCUCUCUUCAUUUUAAGAAUCAGGUUAUUAAAAUUUUUCAUUCUGGAAAACUCGCAAUUUUUAUAAAUAAUUCCUUUCUCCUCCUCUUCUAUUUCCCUCUCCCCACAUUUUCUCUCUUCAAGAAUCAAAAUAUCCUCCCUUUCCCAGCACAAUUUUCCCUCUUAUUCCUCUUCCUCUUUGUUUUAAGAAUACGUAUUCCUUUCUCUCUUUUCAAAAUCAAGUAAGAUCAUAUUACUUAUAAUUCUCCUCUUCCCUUCUCCUCCUUCCAUAUAUACACAUUCCUUUUUCUCUUUUAAUAAUUACACCUUAAAUCAAAUCAUCCCCCUUCUCAAUUUUCCCUCUUACUUACCCAACAAUCUCUCUCAAUCCCUUACAAAUUUAUAUUCCCUCCUCUCCUCUCCCAAUAACGCUCUCCUUCUCUCCCAAGAUCAAUCAGACCAAGCCCAGAGAGAAAUUCGCCAGAGAGAAAUAACUCCUCUUCCUUUUCAAAACACCAAAUUCUCUCUCUCUCUCUCGAAAGAAAAAACCUCUUUCGAGAAAAAACCUUUUUCCAUGCCGGAUGAGGAGGAGGCGAAGGAUGGGCGCUUUGUUCGGUGGUGGACGUCGGCGGCCGAUAUCACGGUCGGGCGAGUUUUGGGGCCGGUGGAGGGGCGGAAAUACGGGCCGGAAAAGGCCGGCUGGUGUCGGGUGUCGUGGAGCGCGGUUAAUACGCGGGUUAAGCGGAGGAGCCGCGGCGGAACGGGGGGGAGGGGGUGGGUUAGGGAAGAAGCGCGAGGGGCACGGGCGAGCCGCGAGGGGUUCGGGCGAGGACGUCGAUAAGCGCGGGUCGCAUUGUCCGAGGCGAGGGUGGUCACGUGGCCACCCUCGCCAUCCCGAAACGACGCCUUGUCCCGGCCCGACGCCUCGUUUAUAUUAAACUGCGAGGUUAAUGCCGCGGCUUACUCCAAUACCGGGCCAACCCUUUGCCCUGCGAUACGCCGAUAAGGGUUACACAAGACCGGCCCGCAAAACUUCCUCCUUCCUUCCUUCCUUCCUUCCUUCCUUCCUUUUCUCCCUCUCUCUCUCUCCUUCCAACGCUGUUUUUCCUCGUACGAGGAUUACGUUCGUGCAAGGGAUUUGUUCAUCUCUUAAUUUUACUCCCUCUGUUUUAUGUAUUCCUUCUUCCCUUUUUAGGUUAGGUUAGGUUAGGUUGAGAUCGUUAGAGUGUUCUUUCAUAAUGGUAUUCCUCCUUUUCUAUUUCUUUCGUUCACUUUACGUUAGAUGUAUUCCUUUUCAGUUUUGAGGUUAGGUUAGGUUAGGUUAUUAGAGUCUUAUCUUUGUUCUUCCACAAUGAUAUUCCUCCUUUUCUAUUUUUUUUUCGUUCUCUUCACGUUGGAUGUAUUCCUUUUCAGUUUUGAGGUUAGGUUAGGUUAAGGUUAGAUUGUUGGAGUCUCGUGUCUUUAUAUUCCUCUUUCAAUUUUUCUUGUUUUCUUUGCGUAUUCUUUUCUUUUUUUUUAGAUUUAAGGUUAGGUUAGAUUGUUAGAGUCUCGUGUUCUUCCACUACGAUAUUCCUCUUUUCCUAUUUUCUUUGUUCUUUUUAUGUUCGAUAUAUUCCUUUCAGUUUUCAGGUUAGAUUAGGUUAGAUUAUUAAAGUCUCAUCUUUGUUCUUCCACAAUGAUAUUCAUCCUUUUCUAUUUUUUUUCGUUCUCUUCAUGUUCAAUGUAUUCCUUUUCAGUUUUAAGGUUAGAAUCUUCCGAUAUUCCUCCUUGUUUUCUUUGCGUUUCGUAUUCUUUUUUCAUUUUUUAGGUUUAAAGUUAGAUUAGAUUAUUAGAAUCUCAUGUAUUUUCACAAUGAUAUUCAUCCUUUUCUAUUUUUUUUGUUUUCUUCACGUUCGAUAUAUUCCUUUUCAGUUUUAAGGUUAGAAUCUCUGUUCUUUCGAUAUUCCUCCUCGUUUUCUUUGCGUUUCGUAUUCUUUUUUCCUUUUCUAGGUUUAAAGUUAGGUCAGAUUAUUAGAGUCUCAUCUCUGUUCUUCCACAACGACAUUCCUCCUUUCAAUUUUUCUUGUUUUCUUUGCGUGUUCCUUUUUCCUUUUUUAAAUCAGAUGUGUUCGAGGAUUAGGAAGACACGAGUCAUCGAAUCGAAAAGGGGAUAAAUCCUCCUUUUAUACCUUAAAUACCGUUUCCAGAAAUACCUAUUCCCCUAGAACAAGCUCGAAGGAACAAAGGUGGGGGAAAAAAGUGUAAAAAGAAGGGAAGGGGGAGAAAAAAAGGUGGUGCACGAUUCACGGUGGUGGAAGAAAACGAGAUUCGAAAGAGAGGCAAGGUCCCGCGAGCGAGAUCCGGUUUCGAUGAACGGCGAGCGGAACGCCAGAGAGGGGCAGAUAAUAAAAGGAAAAUGGGUAGGUAACGCUGAAAGUCAAGGGUUGGGGGGAAGGGACGCGACCCCGACUCGGCUCAACACCGGCCAACAAUGCGCCCGAUAGAGAAGCGGGCGGCCGCGAGAGCCGUGGCGCUCUCGUGGUCCCGGUUACGCAGAUAACGCGCCCUCCGUCGUCCCCUUCCCUCGUCCCUUCCUUUUCCCUCCCCUCGUCUCUUCACACGUUCACAUCGGCAUUAAUUCCAAUUUUUCGCCCCCUCCCGACUCGACCCUCUCACUCUCGCCCCUUGAGAUCGUAACUCUCUCGUUAUUCGCAAAUUUUUCGACCCACGAUCGAAGAUUUUUCGAUCGAACAUUAUUUCGAGCUGCGUAUUGAUAAGAGGAGAAAGAGAGAG